rnacentral:pre_miRNA from 1 species
UAGAAGUGGUCUGGUUGUCAGAGGAGUUAGUAGUGGUCUGGUUGUCCUAACACCUCUGACAACCAGACCACUUCUAA